CGAGAGAAAGUGGCGGUCCCAGCUGUCAGCAGGUCAAAGGAAAGGGAAGGGGAGGGAGGCGUGCGGUUGGGCCAGAGUUGGGCCGCUGCUGCCGACUGCGCGCAGGAGGACUGGGCCGCGGGAAAGGCUGGGCCGCCUGCUGCGGCAGCGCUGGCUUUUUUUUCUUUUCUUUUUCCAAAUCCUCUUUUUUUUCCAAAUGAGCUUUUG
rnacentral:lncRNA from 1 species